GACGAACGCUGGCGGCGUGCUUAACACAUGCAAGUCGACGACGCUACUGAGUAGCAAUAUUUAGUAGUGGAGUGGCGCAAGGGUGAGUAAUGUAUACGUAACCAACCCAUCGGAGACGGAUAACAUUUCGAAAGGGAUGCUAAAACGGCAUGAAGCCACGAUUUCGCAUGAGAUUGUGGUUAAAGAACCGGUAACAGGUUGCCGAUGGCUGGGCGUAUAUCCGAUUAGCUAGUUGGUAGUGUAAUGGACUACCAAGGCGACGAUCGGUAGCUGGUCGGAGGGGAAGCUCAGCCACACGGGCACUGAGACACGGGCCAGACUGCUACGGGAGGCAGCAGUGGGGAAUAUUGGGCAAUGACCGCAAGGGUGACCCAGCAACGCCGCGUGGAGGAUGAAGGCCGUAAGGUUGUAAACUCUGACAGGCAGAAAAGAACGGCUAUGGUAAAAGGCCAUAGAAUGACGGUACCUGGCUGAAGCCCCGGCUAACUACGUG
rnacentral:rRNA from 1 species